UACGGAGGGUGCAAGCGUUAUCCGGAUUCACUGGGUUUAAAGGGAGCGUAGGUGGGCAAGUAAGUCAGUGGUGAAAUCUCCGGGCUUAACCCGGAAACUGCCAUUGAUACUAUUUGUCUUGAAUACUGUGGAGGUCAGCGGAAUAUGUCAUGUAGCGGUGAGAUGCUUAGAUAUGACAUAGAACACCAAUUGCGAAGGCAGCUGGCUACACAAAUAUUGACACUGAGGCACGAAAGCGUGGGGAUCAAACAGG
rnacentral:rRNA from 1 species